CUAUUAUCUUUAAGCGCUCCAAAUAGAGAAAAACUGAAACUGGGUGUUGGCGGCUCAAGUUGGGUCCUGAUCUGUUCUCUUUUUCCGUGCUUUAAUGGCAAGGAUAAACCUACAGGGUCCAAAUAAUGUUCUAAACACAAAAGGCAUUCCUUCAGUGUUUUUGACUGACUCUUAGACAGAAAAAUGUGAGUUUAAUGCUUGAUGCCUGGUUACUAAAAGAGAAGUGAGAUAAAUGUAGUCACAUUCUCAUCAUUAAUGAUUCAUAUUUGAGAUCUUAUACAAAGCCCUUCAUACAAUGCCUGGCCUUUAAAAGACACUCAAUACAGGGUUGGUUGCUUUUAUCAGCCUUAUUACUCAAUAAGGAAUUUAUUAUUGCAGCCCCACAAGCCCAGAACUUGCAAGAAAUUAGACUGGAACUAGAAGAUUCAGGGUGUGAAUACAUAGAUUUAAUGAAACAGAAAACUCUCUUAAUCCAGUGCUAUGCAGUCAUCAGAUGUCUCAUUGCCAUGACAAGGCAGAAUUAUCAUAGAGGAUGUCUGCAGUCUUGUGACUUGGAGACUAGAAGAAUUUUAGAAGCUCUUUGUACAGCAGUGUAUGAGGUACUCCCCCUGGAGGUUUUCUGCCAUCUGAGGCAUAGAAAAUAUCCUGUGAUGAACAGCCCAAAGGAACCUGGAUGAGGACUGUAAAAUUGUGGAAGCAAAGUUGCUGAGAAUGUUAAAUGAUACUGCAGGGAUCCUUCCUGGCAUUUAGCUGAAGUAUGUAACCCUUGUUUUGUAAUUUGCUGGGUCACUGGCCCUUUAGUUUUAAAUUAACUCAAGUCUCUGAUCCUUUUAGGGUCAUUCAUUUUAUGCACUAGUAUAGUCCUCUAUUUAAUUGAAGAAAUGGAGGGAAGGCAGUUUGUUGGAAGGCACACCGACUUCGUUGAGAAGGUGAGGUGUUUGUGUCUUGGCCUCUUGACACCUAAUUUGGCCAGACUUUCCCCUUCUCUCAGGCCCUACCUUACCUCACAAGGUUAUUGUGAGGAUCUGAUACAUAUACACGCACAUGCACACACAUACAAGCACUUUGUUGUUAAACUAUAAAGUGUAAUACCUGUAAAGUUUAAUGUUACGGUAUUGUUGCCAAUGUCUUUUCUUCUAAGGAGCUGUGGCUAAUGUUUCCGAAGGUGUCCCACUUUCUCUCAUAUUGAGGGACUUCUUUUUUUACCUUUUGAAAACCUAAGGCCUUCAAAUGCUCAACUCAUUAUGUGACUCAUUGCGGGUCACGUGAUGAACUAAUGGAAGAGCCAGGAUGUCUCUGCAGGUCUCCUCUUCAACAACAUGGAACAGACCAGCUCUGGGAUUUGUUAGAGUGUCUCUGAGACACCACAGGCCUGGAGGAUCCAUAUUAUAUCCAUCAAACCACUCUGAAUUUGGAAAUGAUGGAGGGAUGUACCCUAAGUUCCCGAGAGCUUUAUAGAGUCCUGUGCUGGGGUCCUCUAUCCUCAUGGCAGAUGUAUUUCUGUGUAUUUUGGUACGUCUCCUUGCGUACAUGUGUAGGAGUUUCUCUGGGUAUACGUACCUAGAAGUGAAAUUCUGGAGUCACAGGGUUUUCAAGUAUUUCACUUUACUAUUUUGAAGGAAGAAUGGAUAAACUGAAAAUUGCUAGAGCAAACAGCCUGGAGUCAGAUUGUGAAGUGGCUUAUUUGGCAUGGGAAGGAAUUUGGACCAUAUCCUGAAGGAAAUAUUAGGAAAAGACUUUGAAAAGGAAGAACACGACCGUAUUUGCACUUUAGAAAGAACAUGCGGGUGACUGUGGGGAGUCGGUUGGCAGAAGGGAGAACGGAGAUGAUGUAAUCACAGUUGAGACAGACACAAAAGACAGACACUUCAGGAAUAAUACCGAUUACAUGUAGGGCGUGAGGCAAGGAGUCUGGUGUGUCCCGACUGAGAACUGAGCACUAUUCAUAGGAUAAUAACGGGAACAGGGUCAGUGUUCGACACGUUAACUUUAAUGUGUCUGCGGGAUACACAGGUUUAAAAUGUCCAUUACACGGCUGAAAAUAAUGAGUUGGGGCUUCUAGAAAGUCUGGUCUGAGAUACAUAUUUAGGGCUCUUCAGAAGUUUAAGGUGAGCGUGGAUAAAGUUAUGCAGAAAGAGUGGGCAAAGAAAAAACGGAAGACGGCUGAGGAGAGAAUUCCAUUGAGUACCAAUAUUUUAAGGGCAGGCCACAAG